rnacentral:rRNA from 1 species
AUUGAACGCUGGCGGCAUGCCUUACACAUGCAAGUCGAACGGUAACAGGUCUUCGGAUGCUGACGAGUGGCGAACGGGUGAGUAAUACAUCGGAACGUGCCCGAUCGUGGGGGAUAACGAAGCGAAAGCUUUGCUAAUACCGCAUAAGAUCUACGGAUGAAAGCAGGGGACCGCAAGGCCUUGCGCGAACGGAGCGGCCGGUGGCAGAUUAGGUAGUUGGUGGGAUAAAAGCUUACCAAGCCGACGAUCUGUAGCUGGUCUGAGAGGACGACCAGCCACACUGGGACUGAGACACGGCCCAGACUCCUACGGGAGGCAGCAGUGGGGAAUUUUGGACAAUGGGCGAAAGCCUGAUCCAGCCAUGCCGCGUGCAGGAUGAAGGCCUUCGGGUUGUAAACUGCUUUUGUACGGAACGAAAAGACUCUGGUUAAUACCUGGGGUCCAUGACGGUACCGUAAGAAUAAGCACCGGCUAACUACGUG